rnacentral:rRNA from 1 species
UUUCACACUGUCAAGAAAAGCUUCUAUCGAGUUUAAAGGCGCCCGUACCGUAAACCGACACAGGUGGGUGAGGAGAGUAUCCUAAGGCCAGCGAGAGAACUAUUGUUAAGGAACUCGGCAAAAUGACCCCGUAACUUAGGGAGAAGGGGUGCCUGUCUAUGACAGGCCGAAGAGAAUAGGCCCAAGCGACUGUUUACAAAAAACACAGGUUUCUGCUAAGUCGCAAGACGAUGUAUAGGAGCUGACGCCUGCCCGGUGCUGGACGGUUAAGGGGAUCUGUUAGAGCAAUCGAAGCAGUGAACUUAAGCCCCAGUAAACGGCGGCCGUAACGAUAACGGUCCUAAGGUAGCGAAAUUCCUUGUCGGGUAAGUUCCGACCCGCACGAAAGGCGUAACGAUUUGGGCGCUGUCUCAACAAUAGACUCGGUGAAAUUGUAAUCCCGGUGAAGAUGCCGGGUACCUGCGACAGGACGGAAAGACCCCAUGGAGCUUUACUGUAGCUUGACGUUGGGUCUUGGUACUACAUGUACAGGAUAGGUGGGAGACUAUGAAGCAUGGACGCCAGUCUGUGUGGAGUCAUCCUUGGGAUACCACCCUUGUAGUACUGGGAUCCUAACCAUAGGCCUUGAAUCAGGUCUUGGAACACCGUCAGGUGGGCAGUUUGACUGGGGCGGUCGCCUCCUAAAAAGUAACGGAGGCGCUCAAAGGUUUCCUCAGCACGGUCGGAAAUCGUGCGAAGAGUGUAAAGGCAAAAGGAAGCUUGAUUGCAAGACAUACAGGUCGAGCAAGGACGAAAGUCGGACUUAGUGAUCCGGUGGUACCGCAUGGAAGGGCCAUCGCUCAACGGAUAAAAGCUACCCUGGGGAUAACAGGCUUAUCUCCCCCAAGAGUCCACAUCGACGGGGAGGUUAGGCACCUCGAUGUCGGCUCAUCACAUCCUGGGGCUGUAGCAGGUCCCAAGGGUUGGGCUGUUCGCCCAUUAAAGUGGUACGCGAGCUGGGUUCAGAACGUCGUGAGACAGUUCGGUCCCUAUCCGUCGCAGGCGUAGGAAAUUUGAGAAGACCUGUCCUUAGUACGAGGGGACCGGGAUGGACGUACCUCUGGUGUACCAGUUGUUCUGCCAAGGGCAUGGCUGGGUAGCUAUGUACGGAAUGGAUAAGCGCUGAAAGCAUCUAAGCGCGAAGCCAACUUCAAGAUAAGAUUUCCCACCGUAAGGGUAAGACCCCAGGAAGACUACCUGGUUGAUAGGUCGGAGGUGUAAGUGCAGUAAUGUAUUUAGCUUAUCGAUACUAAUAGGUCGAGGACUUGAAC